UGGGGAAUAUUGCACAAUGGGCGCAAGCCUGAUGCAGCCAUGACGCGUGUAUGAAGAAGGCCUUCGGGUUGUAAAGUACUUUCAGCGGGGAGGAAGGGAGUAAAGUUAAUACCUUUGCUCAUUGACGUUACCCGCAGAAGAAGCACCGGCUAACUCCGUGCCAGCAGCCGCGGUAAUACGGAGGGUGCAAGCGUUAAUCGGAAUUACUGGGCGUAAAGCGCACGCAGGCGGUUUGUUAAGUCAGAUGUGAAAUCCCCGGGCUCAACCUGGGAACUGCAUCUGAUACUGGCAAGCUUGAGUCUCGUAGAGGGGGGUAGAAUUCCAGGUGUAGCGGUGAAAUGCGUAGAGAUCUGGAGGAAUACCGGUGGCGAAGGCGGCCCCCUGGACGAAGACUGACGCUCAGGUGCGAAAGCGUGGGGAGCAAACAGG
rnacentral:rRNA from 1 species